UUGUUUCUUGUUUUAUAUAUUGUGUAGAAGUUGCACCCACUCGUGAUCCCAAUGAAGAAGAUUCUGGUGUUGAGUCUGAUUUAGUACAUCUUGUUAAGUUGUUAUGGUUGGUUUGCAUUAAGAAGUUUAGCUAUUUUGUUGGAGAAGACACCAUAACUUUGCUAUCAGUUUAAUGACAAUUUAUUUUUAUUUUCA